rnacentral:rRNA from 1 species
AUUGAACGCUGUCGGCAGGCCUAACACAUGCAAGUCGAACGAGUGGCGGACGGGUGAGUAAUGUCUGGGAAACUGCCUGAUGGCGGGGGAUAACUACUGGAAACGGUAGCUAAUACCGCCUACCAUCGGAUGUGCCCAGAUGGGAUUAGCUUGUGGGUGGGGUAACGGGUCACCAAGGCGACGCUCCCUAGCUGGUAUGAGAGGAUGACCGGCCACACCGGAACUGAGACACGGUCCAUACUCCUACGGGAGGCAGAAGUGGGGAAUAUUGCACAAUGGGCGAAAGCCUGAUGCAGCCAUGCCGCGUGUAUGAAGAAGGCCUUCGGGUUGUAAAGUACUUUCAGCGGGGAGGCGUUACCCGCAGAAGAAGCACCGGCUAACUCCGUGCCAGCCGCCGCGGUAAUAC